rnacentral:lncRNA from 1 species
GGGAUGGAGCGCGCCGCCCUGCGGUCCUGGCUACCGGUCUCUGUCGCGUACUACCGCUGCGCGCCCUUUCCGGUCCAUGCCCUCUUCCCUUUCCGAGAUCCUGGGCCCCAGGAUCUUUCCUCCGGAGUUUCCCGACCUCCCUGGCUAUUGACCAUGCUCCUGCCGCUUUCCCGCAGGUUCCCAGACGUAGCUGGUCUAUGUGUUCCCUGCUCCCCGUACCUACCCGAGUCGUCGCUUCGGGGACACCCUCAUCCUGUGUGCCUUGUUAAAUCUUCCAAGUGCCUGUCUUACACUGAGGAUUGGGAUGGUGUCUGCCAGGUUCCUGACAGGGCCGAGCAUUUAAAUACCUGCUUAAGGAACACAAGUGACAACCUCUCUGAAGCGUGGUGUGGGUGUAUGAGGAGGAGGAGGACGUUGACAUUGGCCAUGUGAGCCAAAGUUUCUAUGACAGUGAAAUGGAACAAGAAUUGACUGAUACAGACUCAGGGAAUGCAGACCUCCUUGAUUCAAAUGACAAAACAGCAAUGUGAGUACAUAUUUGACUAGUCAAAAUGUUGCAAAAUGGCCAUACAACCAAAUGGAACAAUCCAGUGUUAGAACUAGGUCCAAAAAUAUAGUGAGGGUCUUGGCAGGGGUGAAAUGUAUUGGACAAUCCCAGCACUGCUAUUCAAUGUUGGAAAUUGUAACAGACGAAAUGCUACAAGAUGCUAUGAAAUACACAAAGGCUGAAAUGCAAGUAAAAUGUUCUCUAUGCACCAAUAGCCAUAUUCAAAAAUGUAUUUAUUAUGAUUCCAGAACUGAAAACAUUCAUAGGUCUGCUGUACUCAGCAGGGAUUUCUCAUGGUAAUCGCAGGAAUGUUAAAAAAAAAUUAUGGAAAAAGUAUUGAGUCAAUAUAUGGCAUAAAAUUUUAUGGCCUUGUAACUGCAAAGACUUAUGCUUUCAGUUUAGACAUUUAUCCUGAAACUCAGCUAUCAAGUCCUUAUUCAUACAGUAAUAAACCAAAUGAUGUUAACAGGCUUGUUGCUCCAAUCUCCCAAACUAAUUAGAAUGUGACAUUUUACAAUUAGUUUAUCAGUUUCCAGUUGAUACUACAUUUGCUAACAGAGCACAAGCUGACCAGUGCAGGAACUGUACACAGGAACAAAGCAGAGAUUCCAAAUGAAAUGUUGCAAUUUCAAAACAAAAUUGUAGAGUACAAUCUUUCGGUUUCAGAAAGAUUUACAUAUAGAAAAUAUGGCAAAGAAAAACAAACUGGUACUGCUGAUGUCAACAUUCCAUCAUAAUAGAAGUAUUGACAAAUGGAACAAAAUUGAACAAAAUGGAAGCCUGAGAUGGAAAUGUUCUACAACACAACCAAAGGUUUUGCAAGCAAGUAAACAGCUGAUGUGAAAAUGUUGAUGUCUAUUAUAAAGCACAAUGCAUACUAAGAAUUUACUACUUAUUUUAUUGUUAUUUUACGUUCCUGUUAACUACACACUGUAUAAAAGAAACUCCUGACAAAACAACAAGACCAGUAAGAUGUCAAGUAUGUCCUACAAAAAGGCCAGGAAACCAAAACACGUGAGCUGUCAUUGUAAGCAAUCUGUGUGUAUGGAAUGCACUGUUGUCUUAUGUGUAGACUACCUUACAUGUGAUUAUUGAAGUAAAGAUUGUAUUUUGGAAAGUGCUAUUGGUAUUUUCAUUGUAGUUCAUAUAAGAAUUUAUUUAUGGUGUUCUAUUUUAGACUUUGUAUACCAAAAAAUAGUUGAUGUUGAAAAUUUUGAUGUUUUUUAUAUGCUCAAUAAAUAUUGAAAAUUCACUACUUUAUUUUUGUGAUUUUUUUCCUAAGUAC